AUGAAUCAGAGGGAAUUUUCAUUCAAAGAUUUCUAUGCCUUUUUCAAGCAUCAGCCAGCAAGGCCUAGAAAUACUCUGACAAUACAGGACAGCAAUGUGGAGUCCAGACCUCCUUGGUGACAGCAUGGCCAUACUGACCUCUGCAACAGAAGAUGGGCAACAGAACUUAAAGCAGUAGCUGUACCUGCACAGCAAAAUACAUCUUAAUGUAAGUAACAUUCAGCCCCCAAAUUUGCUCCCCGCUUUGUUUUUUUAAUAACUCUGCACUAGAUCCCGUGUUAUU
rnacentral:lncRNA from 1 species